UAACUGUUACAAUGGCUAGCAAGCUAUGCUAGCUGCUCACCAGCGAGUCCUCCCAUCGGAGCUAACGUGCUAACUGCGUGACAAAAGUUCCUGACAGCUAGCAAAUUAGCUAAAAAUGACUAACAGCCCAUUGUGACACAUCAGACUACCAUGUUCACAACGACUAUAUGGUUGGUUAGGCACCUUGUUUUAGACAAUGUAUCACACUCAAAUUAGCAGCAAACACGUCCCACUGAGAAAGUUACUGGUUAACUGCCUUCAACUCAGCACUCUUUAGGCUAGUCACCAAGGGCGUAGCCAUCAUUUCAGAAGUGAGGGGGACAGAUUGUUCAGAGGUGAUUCAUUAUCCUCUCGCAUUCAAUUGCACCUCUCCUUAGUGGCUAAAGAACCACAUAACCACAAACAGCACAGCACCAGGGGACCGACUUCAUGUCUUUAUAAUUAUACACUGUCAAAAUCUAAAGCUGCCAAACUCUGGUUGAGUUGACACAGAAUGACCCUCAAGCAUCUGCAGGGUUUGCCUUCUGGCCAGCAGCACAGACAGGCAGAGGGGAUAACACACUCUCCACAGAGAGACACACUCAGCAAGCACCAGCGACUUACUGUAAUUCAUAUACUGAACGUGGUGGGUGCUGUGUAAGGUGCAGACCAGCGCAUCAGGGGCAGUUUGGGGUUCAACUUGUAACUUGCCCAAGGGCACUUUGAUAAUGCAGACCAGGGGAAUCGAACGAGUGACCUUCAGAUAAGAAGACAUUGGCUCUACCCCUGAGCCACACCCACGU